rnacentral:rRNA from 1 species
GAUGAACGCUGGCGGCGUGCCUAAUACAUGCAAGUCGAGCGAACAGACGAGGAGCUUGCUCCUCUGACGUUAGCGGCGGACGGGUGAGUAACACGUGGAUAACCUACCUAUAAGACUGGGAUAACUUCGGGAAACCGGAGCUAAUACCGGAUAAUAUAUUGAACCGCAUGGUUCAAUAGUGAAAGACGGUUUUGCUGUCACUUAUAGAUUGAUCCGCGCCGCAUUAGCUAGUUGGUAAGGUAAUGGCUUACCAAGGCAACGAUGCGUAGCCGACCUGAGAGGGUGAUCGGCCACACUGGAACUGAGACACGGUCCAGACUCCUACGGGAGGCAGCAGUAGGGAAUCUUCCGCAAUGGGCGAAAGCUUGACGGAGCAACGCCGCGUGAGUGAUGAAGGUCUUCGGAUCGUAAAACUCUGUUAUUAGGGAAGAACAAAUGUGUAAGUAACUAUGCACGUCUUGACGGUACCUAAUCAGAAAGCCACGGCUAACUACGUG